UCGGUUGUACACUUACUUGCUUUACUCUAUUCCCUAUGUAUUUAUCUUUCAUUUAUGAUUACUGCGUCUCCCAUUCUAUCUCCUUCAUUUUUGAAUUGAAUUUUAACUGAAAUUUUGUUUCUUUUCUUUUGAAAAUUUGACAGUCCGAAGCCAUUAGAAGUCACAUAAUCGGUUUGUCGUUGAUGAAGUCGUCGUGGCCCGUCAGUGAUGAAAAAUUGACAAUGUAAUUGCAAUUGUUGUUAUGUAUUUGAUACAAUGGAAAAACUUAAGCUCUUUCGCAGCAAUAAUUUUAUAAUCAAGUAAUACUUCAGAGAUUAAAGAUUUGAAAGCUGGGGCGGAGCUGCUUGAUAUUAUUCUUUCAAAGUCCCAGAGAAUGGGCAUGGAGCCUCAAAGAGCUGCAGUGGGGAAGUAGAACCACUGUCAGGUUCAAUAUACCCAGCAGGCUCACCUCGAGCAGCAGACACAGUGAGGAGAAUAAUCGGCACAAUGAAGAAACCAGCAGGCUUACCUGCUUAGAUUUUUCGAUUUCAAAUUUUUAAAUCUUUCGACGAAAUCGAGUUCAGAUUUGAUGAUGCAUUCA